rnacentral:other from 1 species
UGUCGCCUCGGACGUUCGCCAGCGUAGGGAAGUCCUUGAGCCGUUAUUGAAACGAUAGGAGUUGUCGGCGCUGGUCUCGGUGUGCAUAUCCGGCGAGGAGUCUUCGGACACCCCCGGGCAGCCUGAUGGGAUCGCCUGCUUCUCCGCCCUGAGCCACAACGGUUCAGGGCAACCUGUGCAGCGGCGUCCCGGGUGACCU